rnacentral:lncRNA from 1 species
CGCCACCACGGCUGACAUCGCCGUGGACAUAUGACCGCCAACAGCAGGCUCUGCACGGUGCACUCUGGUUCGUGUCGGACGUCGUCGUAGCUACUUACUAGCUAGUAGAGUAUAGUUUCCCGUGUUGUGCUUGUGCGAUGCCGAGCAUGUGGCGAGGCGCCAUGAAUCAGGCUGCUACCACUAGUAGUUGUUAGUGGCGCUGUCUGGCUAGGUGUCGUUUAUUUUCUCUCUUCUCUUCUCUCUUUGUUAUGCAUUGUGUGUUUGUA